ensembl:lncRNA
CUGGGAUGGGGAUUGAACACCACCUGUUGUUGGGACCGGGCUGGCUGCUUCCCCGAGGGGAUGAACUGAAGACUCAACGCAGCGGCACUGUGAGCCUGAUGGCCGUUCAAACGGAUCUCAAACAGAUGUACGCAAACUUUUACACAAAGUUUCAUUUUGUGCAGAGUUAAAGGAAAUUGCACAGCUGGACUAGCACCCUGAAUAGAUCACACUAGCGCCAUGGUGGGAAACAGAUCGCCAUGAACGGAAUACACAUUGAACAUGGAAGCAUGCAUGUGGGAGUGUGUGUGGGUGUGUGUCUGUGCCGUAAAGCAUUUUCGAAACUACAAUCUGACUACAUUUUCGAGGAUACUUCCGUUGCGUCACAUCCGGAUUGUGUCGGUCCGAACAGAGCAAGUUGCAUAUGCGCUUUUUCACUGGAGAGGCGACAUGGGUAAAUGACACACCCACCAAUCGACCCAGAAAUGGAUGCAGAACCAUCAGCAUAACUCUCAACCUGCAUACUUAAUGUAAUUUUGGCUAAAAAAGUUGCAUAGUGGGCCUUUAAUCCUCUUAUGGGACUGCUUUGAUCUGGGACAAUAUCUGGAUUGUUCUGGUGAUAAUCAAGCAUGUGAUCCUCUUCAAAGUCCUCUUUUCCCUCUUCUAGUGUUACUGUUUUUCCAUUCCUCUUUUGUUUAAUCUUUUCCUGCUUAAUUUACACAUAUUUCCUCAAAUUUACCUCCUCAUCCUACCUUUUUCAAAUUCCUAAUUCAUAUUUUGUCAUUUGUUGCUCUACUCUUUUUUGCCAUCUACACCUUCCUCCUCCGCAUAUUUGACACUUUCACUUUGAAUUUCUCACCAUUAUAUAUCUCUCCUUCCGCCUCCUCUCCCUCCCUCUCCCCUUCCUCCUCCUCAUCUUCCUCCUUAUAUUUCUCCUCCUCAUUGUCCUUCACAUCCCCACUUUCCUCCUCCACCUUCUUCCUCUCUAACCCUCCCCUACCCAUGACUCUUUCUCACAUUGAAAGUCAGUGCUUUGUUUUCAACAGCAAAUGUCAAACAAAUGUUUGACAAAAGAUAAAUCCUAUGUUGCCUGUACUCUAUUUCCCAAGAGUAUGCAUAGUCAUUUAAACAUCAACGUUGUAGUGCUUGAAUUGAA